CAGCAGCCGCGGUAAUACGAAGGGACCUAGCGUAGUUCGGAAUUACUGGGCUUAAAGAGUUCGUAGGUGGUUGAAAAAGUUAGUGGUGAAAUCCCAGAGCUUAACUCUGGAACUGCCAUUAAAACUUUUCAGCUAGAGUAUGAUAGAGGAAAGCAGAAUUUCUAGUGUAGAGGUGAAAUUCGUAGAUAUUAGAAAGAAUACCAAUUGCGAAGGCAGCUUUCUGGAUCAUUACUGACACUGAGGAACGAAAGCAUGGGUAGCGAAGAGGAUUAGAUACCCUCGUAGUCCAUGCCGUAAACGAUGUGUGUUAGACGUUGGAAAUUUAUUUUCAGUGUCGCAGGGAAACCGAUAAACACGCCGCCUGGGGAGUACGACCGCAAGGUUAAAACUCAAAUGAAUUGACGGGGACCCGCACAAGUAGUGGAGCAUGUGGUUUAAUUCGAAGAUACGCGCAGAACCUUACCAACACUUGACAUGUUCGUCGCGACUCUAAGAGAUUAGAGUUUUCGGUUCGGCCGGACGAAACACAGGUGCUGCAUGGCUGUCGUCAGCUCGUGUCGUGAGAUGUUGGGUUAAGUCCCGCAACGAGCGCAACCCUCACUUUUAGUUGCCAUCAUUAAGUUGGGCACUCUGAAAGAACUGCCAGUGAUAAGCUGGAGGAAGGUGGGGAUGACGUCAAGUCCUCAUGGCCCUUACGUGUUGGGCUACACACGUGCUACAAUGGUAUCUACAACAGGAAGCAAGACUGCGAAGUUAAGCAAAUCCCUAAAAGAUACCUCAGUUCGGAUUGCACUCUGCAACUCGAGUGCAUGAAGCUGGAAUUACUAGUAAUCGUGGAUCAGCGUGCCACGGUGAAUGCGUUCCCGGGUCUUGUACACACCGCCCGUCACACCAUGGGAGUUGGUUCUACCUUAAGGCAAGGUUUCAAACCCUUGACCACGGUAUAGUCAGCGACUGGGGUG
rnacentral:rRNA from 1 species